AUACGUAGGUCCCGAACGUUGCGCGAAAUUACUGGGCGUAAAGGGUCCGUAGGCGGUCUGGUAAGUGGAAGGUGAAAGCCUGGGGCUCAACUCCAGAAUUGCCUUCCAAACUGCCGGACUUGAGGCAGGGAGAGGUCGGCGGAAUUCCCGGUGUAGCGGUGAAAUGGGUAGAUAUCGGGAGGAACACCAGUGGCGAAGGCGGCCGACUGGAACUGUCCUGACGCUGAGGGACGAAAGCCAGGGGAGCGAACCGGAUUAGAAACCCUAGUAGUCC
rnacentral:rRNA from 1 species